GAUGAAGAACGUAGCGAAAUGCGAUAAGUAGUGUGAAUUGCAGAAUUCAGUGAAUCAUCGAAUCUUUGAACGCACAUUGCGCCCCUCGGUAUUCCGUGGAGCAUGCCUGUUCGAGCGUCAUUUAACCCCUCAAACCUAGCUUGGUAUUGGGUGCUUGUCCCGCCUCUCGCGCGGCGACUCACCUCAAAGUCAUUGGCAGCCCGCAUCUCGCCGGCCGUGAGCGCAGCACAGACGCGCUCUUGGCAACGACGGAUCGGCUCUCCAAAAGCUUAUUUCAACCACUGACCUCGGAUCAGGUAGGGAUACCCGCUGAACUUAAGCAUAUCAAUAAGCGGAGGA
rnacentral:misc_RNA from 1 species